rnacentral:rRNA from 1 species
CGAAUGCUGACAUAAGUAACGAUAAAGCGGGUGAAAAGCCCGCUCGCCGGAAGACCAAGGGUUCCUGUCCAACGUUAAUCGGGGCAGGGUGAGUCGACCCCUAAGGCGAGGCCGAAAGGCGUAGUCGAUGGGAAACAGGUUAAUAUUCCUGUACUUGGUGUUACUGCGAAGGGGGGACGGAGAAGGCUAUGUUGGCCGGGCGACGGUUGUCCCGGUUUAAGCGUGUAGGCUGGUUUUCCAGGCAAAUCCGGAAAAUCAAGGCUGAGGCGUGAUGACGAGGCACUACGGUGCUGAAGUAACAAAUGCCCUGCUUCCAGGAAAAGCCUCUAAGCAUCAGGUAACAUCAAAUCGUACCCCAAACCGACACAGGUGGUCAGGUAGAGAAUACCAAGGCGCUUGAGAGAACUCGGGUGAAGGAACUAGGCAAAAUGGUGCCGUAACUUCGGGAGAAGGCACGCUGAUAUGUAGGUGAAGCGACUUGCUCGUGGAGCUGAAAUCAGUCGAAGAUACCAGCUGGCUGCAACUGUUUAUUAAAAACACAGCACUGUGCAAACACGAAAGUGGACGUAUACGGUGUGACGCCUGCCCGGUGCCGGAAGGUUAAUUGAUGGGGUCAGCGCAAGCGAAGCUCUUGAUCGAAGCCCCGGUAAACGGCGGCCGUAACUAUAACGGUCCUAAGGUAGCGAAAUUCCUUGUCGGGUAAGUUCCGACCUGCACGAAUGGCGUAAUGAUGGCCAGGCUGUCUCCACCCGAGACUCAGUGAAAUUGAACUCGCUGUGAAGAUGCAGUGUACCCGCGGCAAGACGGAAAGACCCCGUGAACCUUUACUAUAGCUUGACACUGAACAUUGAGCCUUGAUGUGUAGGAUAGGUGGGAGGCUUUGAAGUGUGGACGCCAGUCUGCAUGGAGCCGACCUUGAAAUACCACCCUUUAAUGUUUGAUGUUCUAACGUUGACCCGUGAUCCGGGUUGCGGACAGUGUCUGGUGGGUAGUUUGACUGGGGCGGUCUCCUCCUAAAGAGUAACGGAGGAGCACGAAGGUUGGCUAAUCCUGGUCGGACAUCAGGAGGUUAGUGCAAUGGCAUAAGCCAGCUUGACUGCGAGCGUGACGGCGCGAGCAGGUGCGAAAGCAGGUCAUAGUGAUCCGGUGGUUCUGAAUGGAAGGGCCAUCGCUCAACGGAUAAAAGGUACUCCGGGGAUAACAGGCUGAUACCGCCCAAGAGUUCAUAUCGACGGCGGUGUUUGGCACCUCGAUGUCGGCUCAUCACAUCCUGGGGCUGAAGUAGGUCCCAAGGGUAUGGCUGUUCGCCAUUUAAAGUGGUACGCGAGCUGGGUUUAGAACGUCGUGAGACAGUUCGGUCCCUAUCUGCCGUGGGCGCUGGAGAACUGAGGGGGGCUGCUCCUAGUACGAGAGGACCGGAGUGGACGCAUCACUGGUGUUCGGGUUGUCAUGCCAAUGGCACUGCCCGGUAGCUAAAUGCGGAAGAGAUAAGUGCUGAAAGCAUCUAAGCACGAAACUUGCCCCGAGAUGAGUUCUCCCUGACCCUUUAAGGGUCCUGAAGGAACGUUGAAGACGACGACGUUGAUAGGCCGGGUGUG